UUUCUGGGGCUUUACCUCAUAGUUGCUAACUAGCCGACGCUAAUAGCCCUUUUAAAUCUCCACUUUCGUUCUAGCAAGCUCUCACAAAAUUAUCAAACGCGAAGAUCAGGAGAGGGAAAAAUUAUGGCGCAAAUUCCCAAUUUAGACAAUGCUCCCAUUAAUCUCACUGCAAUUAGAGAUCAGUCUCAGAAAGAACUUCUUACUAUCCUGAAAAAUAUUCGAGGAAAGAAAUGUUUAGCUAUCGAUCCCAAGCUUGGUGGUUCGCUUUCAUUGAUCGUCCAGAGCUCACUACUCAAGGAACAUGGGGCUGAAUUGCGUCAUCUUACUGCAGAACCAAUUCAAACUGAUUGCACCAAGGUCGUUUACCUGGUCCACAGCCAACUUGACUUGAUGAAAUUAAUUUCCUCACAAAUUCGUGAUGAUACUUCAAAGGGUCUUCAAAGAGAGUAUUUUGUUUACUUUGUUCCUCGUCGUACUGUUGUGUGUGAGAAAAUACUAGAGGAGGAGAAAGUUUAUGACUUGUUGACUAUAGGUGAGUACCCAUUGUAUCUAAUGCCAAUAGAUGAGGAUGUAAUAGCGUUUGAGCUCGACCUUGCUUAUAAAGAUCAUUUGGCGGAUGGAGACACGACCUCUCUCUGGCACAUUGCAAAGGCUCUCCACAAACUAGAGUCUACUUUUGGAGUGAUACCAAAUAUUAGGGCCAAAGGGAAAGCAUCUGCACGUGUUGCAGACAUUUUGAAUCGCAUGCAAAUUGAAGAACCUGUUAACGCAUCAGAUGCUGGCAUGCCAGAAAUCAAUACUCUGAUCCUCCUAGACAGAGAGGUAGACAUGAUCACUCCUUUGUGUUCUCAGUUAACAUACGAGGGGCUGCUGGAUGAGUUUCUUGGUGUCAAUAAUGGUGCAGUGGAAGUAGACUCAUCUAUUAUGGGUGUUCAGCAAGAAGGAAAAAAAAUGAAGGUUCCCCUUAAUUCAACUGACAAACUGUUCAAAGAGAUACGGGACUUAAACUUCGAAUUUGUUGUCCAGGUUCUACGUCAAAAAGCAACAUCCAUGAAACAGGACUACACAGAGAUGACAACUACUAAUCAAACAGUAUCUGAAUUGAAGGACUUUGUGAAAAAGCUGAACUCGUUGCCUGAAAUUACUCGGCACAUAAAUCUUGCUCAGCACUUGUCAACUUUUACAUCAAAACCUUCAUUUCUUGGGCGUCUUGAUAUGGAACAUACAAUUGUUGAGGCUGAGAGCUAUGACAUAUGCUUCGAGUACAUUGAAGAGAUGAUCCACAAGCAGGAGCCUCUAGUUAAUGUUCUGCGUCUCCUGAUCUUGUUUUCAAUAACAAAUUCAGGACUGCCCAAAAGGAAUUUUGACUAUUUGAGGAGAGAGUUGCUUCACAGCUAUGGUUUUGAGCACAUGGCAACUCUGAAUAAUUUGGAAAAAGCUGGUUUGUUCAGGAAGCAGGAGACAAAAGGCAACUGGAUUACGAUCAAACGCGCUUUGCAUCUUGUGGUUGAGGAUACUGAUACAGCUAAUCCCAAUGAUAUCUCCUAUGUCUUCUCUGGAUAUGCACCUCUCAGUAUUCGCCUUGUUCAGCAUGCAAUCCGAUCUGGAUGGCGCCCUCUUGAAGAUGUACUGAAGUUACUGCCAGGACCACAUACAGAAACCAAGAGAAGUGGAUAUGUUGGCGGUUCAUAUGACAAUCUUUCCAGUUCUGUGCUCAACUUAGCCAAAGUUGGAGAUGGAAGGCGCUCUUUGGUCCUUGUUGUUUUCGUUGGAGGGGUUACGUUUGCAGAAAUCGCUGCUCUUCGUUUCCUCAGCUCUCAGGAGGGAAUGGCAUAUGACUUAAUAAUAGGAACCACGAAGAUCAUCAAUGGUCAAACGUUAAUUGAACCAUUUGUUGAGAAAUUGGGAUAACUUUUAAAGAUCCUUUUGGACAGUUAGUGAGCUGCAGAAGAGGAAGGAGGCUGCUCCUUGCUUGUCACGCGGAAGAUCAUAGCCAGCUUGCUUCCUUUUGAUUGUUAAGCAGAUGUUUGACUUGUAUGCGAGGUGUCCGUUUUGACAAUGGAUCGUAAAUGGGUUUGUACAGAAAGAAAUGAAUUCUAGCCCUUUUUAGGAAUGCUUGCCAGGUGGUUUGCACUUCAGGAGUAUGGUGCCAAAUUUGGAGUCAUUUCAUUCACCACCUCAUCUGGCGGCCUGUCUGUAUUUUUUGCUGGCAAAAGAUAUGGAGUCUGUUGGACUGGAUAUCUUUGUAGUAUGAAUUGGUCGGAUGUAUUUCACCUCGUUUUGGAUUUCAUCUUUUACUUUUGGACAAGCUAAUUCUGGAGGAUGAAGUUGGUAACCCUUCUAAUGAGGGGAUCAUUUACCUAAUGAGGGUAACGGGUUGACCGUUUUACAUUGAGUUCGUUGCACCUGCCCUACAAACACACUUGCUGUAUCAAUUUUGCUAACGUCAAUAUGUAAACAUUAACAAAGUCCGUCAACCGUUGUAAGUUAUUUGAGAUA